UCCUUGAAAGCCCUGAGGCCCAGGCCGCUGUCCUGCUCUCCUCUCCACUGACUCCCAUCCUCGAUAUACUUUCCAUGAGAGAAAGAAUGCAUUUUUCAUACAACAACUAUCACCUCUUGAAGAAUACCUGGAAUAGGUUUUCCUAUACCUACACCUAUAUGUCAGAAUGUGAAGUUGAUGGCUGGAGUCGGAGCAGCCAUAUUGGAUGAUUUGAUUGAAAAUGGCCCAUGGAGUACCACCUGGGAACAUAUCCUCGAGAAAGACAGUUGAGGCUUAUUGCCUAAACCACAGGCUACUGAAAACUUGGCCAAAGGCGACUACUCUAGACUGGUGACUUCAAAAGUGCUGAUGAAUACAGUGAACCAUGAAAGAUG